AAAAUUUUAAGUUAAAAAAACUAUAAACCUUCAAAGUUUAAAUUAUUGAAUUAUAAAUUUUG
rnacentral:tRNA from 1 species